rnacentral:rRNA from 1 species
GGAUUAGAUACCCUGGUAGUCCACGCCGUAAACGAUGAGAACUAGCCGUUGGACAUCUUGCAUGUUUAGUGGCGCAGCUAACGCGAUAAGUUCUCCGCCUGGGGAGUACGGCCGCAAGGUUAAAACUCAAAUGAAUUGACGGGGGCCCGCACAAGCGGUGGAGCAUGUGGUUUAAUUCGAAGCAACGCGAAGAACCUUACCUACACUUGACAUCCUCGGAACUUUCUAGAGAUAGAUUGGUGCCUUCGGGAACCGAGUGACAGGUGCUGCAUGGCUGUCGUCAGCUCGUGCCG